rnacentral:rRNA from 1 species
AACGAACGCUGGCGGCAUGCCUAACACAUGCAAGUCGAACGAGACCUUCGGGUCUAGUGGCGCACGGGUGCGUAACGCGUGGAACCUGCCCUUAGGUUCGGAAUAACUCCCCGAAAGGGGUGCUAAUACCGGAUAAUGUCUUCGGACCAAAGAUUUAUCGCCUUUGGAUGGGCCCGCGUUGGAUUAGCUAGUUGGUAGGGUAAAAGCCUACCAAGGCGACGAUCCAUAGCUGGUCUGAGAGGAUGAUCAGCCACACUGGGACUGAGACACGGCCCAGACUCCUACGGGAGGCAGCAGUGGGGAAUAUUGGACAAUGGGCGAAAGCCUGAUCCAGCAAUGCCGCGUGAGUGAUGAAGGCCUUAGGGUUGUAAAGCUCUUUUACCCGGGAUGAUAAUGACAGUACCGGGAGAAUAAGCGCCGGCUAACUCCGUG